rnacentral:rRNA from 1 species
UACGUAGGGGGCAAGCGUUGUUCGGAAUUACUGGGCGUAAAGGGCGCGUAGGCGGCACGGCAAGUCAGGAGUGAAAGCCCUGGGCUCAACCCGGGAACUGCUUUUGAAACUGCCGAGCUAGAGUGCGGAAGGGGCAACUGGAAUUCCCAGUGUAGCAGUGAAAUGCGUAGAUAUUGGGAAGAACACCUGAGGCGAAGGCGGGUUGCUGGACCGACACUGACACUGAUGCGCGAAAGCCAGGGGAGCGAACGGG